GGAAACUUGAAAACUACCGUUGAAUCGAGAAAUAGACGUCCGAGAUUCGUCCACGUCAUCAUGAGUUAAAAUUUAACUCGCAGAUUCACUCAUGAAUUAAAAUUUUACUCGGAGUUAAAUUUUAACUCAUGAUGACGUAAAUGAAUCUCGGACGUCCAUUUCUCGGUCCAAUGGUAGUUUUUUAAGUUUUC
rnacentral:pre_miRNA from 1 species